rnacentral:rRNA from 1 species
AUUGAACGCUGGCGGCAUGCCUUACACAUGCAAGUCGAACGGCAGCACGGACUUCGGUCUGGUGGCGAGUGGCGAACGGGUGAGUAAUGUAUCGGAACGUACCUGUCAGUGGGGGAUAACGUAGCGAAAGUUACGCUAAUACGGCAUAUUCUGUGAGCAGGAAAGAAGGGGAUCGCAAGACCUUGCGCUGAUUGAGCGGCCGAUAUCAGAUUAGCUAGUUGGUGGGGUAACGGCCUACCAAGGCAACGAUCUGUAGCGGGUCUGAGAGGAUGAUCCGCCACACUGGAACUGAGACACGGUCCAGACUCCUACGGGAGGCAGCAGUGGGGAAUUUUGGACAAUGGGGGCAACCCUGAUCCAGCCAUGCCGCGUGAGUGAAGAAGGCCUUCGGGUUGUAAAGCUCUUUCGGCCGGGAAGAAAUCGCAUCAGCUAAUACCUGGUGUGGAUGACGGUACCGGAAUAAGAAGCACCGGCUAACUACGUGCCAGCAGCCGCCGUAA